rnacentral:rRNA from 1 species
CGGAGGGUGCAAGCGUUAUCCGGAUUCACUGGGUUUAAAGGGAGCGCAGGCGGAUUGGUAAGUCAGUGGUGAAAGGCUUAAGCUUAACUUGGGAAUUGCCAUUGAUACUACUGGUCUUGAAUGUUGUUGAGGUUUGCGGAAUGGGUCAUGUAGCGGUGAAAUGCAUAGAUAUGACCCGGAACACCUAUUGCGAAGGCAGCAGGCUAAACAAAUAUUGACGCUGAGGCUCGAAAGCGUGGGGAUCAAACAGGAUUAGAUACCCUGGUAGUCCACGCCCUAAACUAUGAUUACUCGACAUACGCGAUACACUGUGUGUGUCUGAGCGAAAGCAUUAAGUAAUCCACCUGGGAAGUACGACCGCAAGGUUG